rnacentral:rRNA from 1 species
GACGAACGCUGGCGGCGUGCUUAACACAUGCAAGUCGAACGGAAAGGCCCUGCUUUUGUGGGGUGCUCGAGUGGCGAACGGGUGAGUAACACGUGAGUAACCUGCCCUUGACUUUGGGAUAACUUCAGGAAACUGGGGCUAAUACCGGAUAGGAGCUCCUGCUGCAUGGUGUGGGUUGGAAAGUUUCGGCGGUUGGGGAUGGACUCGCGGCUUAUCAGCUUGUUGGUGGGGUAGUGGCUUACCAAGGCUUUGACGGGUAGCCGGCCUGGGAGGGUGACCGGCCACAUUGGGACUGGGGUAGGGCCAGGACUCCUACGGGGGGCAGCAGUGGGGAAUAUUCCACAAUGGGCGGAAGCCUGAUGCAGCAACGCCGCGUGCGGGAUGACGGCCUUCGGGUUGUAAACCGCUUUCGCCUGUGACGAAGCGUGAGUGACGGUAAUGGGUAAAGAAGCACCGGCUAACUACGUG